AGGAAAAAAAAAAAAAACCCAAGGCCAGAAGAUGGACUGACAGCCCAAGGCUGAACCAGAACUGGACACAGGCUCUUGUUUUCUCUGACCCGCUGACGAGGAGAAUCCCACGGGGAAACAACCCGAGUUUUAAGGUUUGCACGGAAAACGAGGCGGCCUGAUGCCACACUGGGGGAUUUUCGUGAAGUUCCUCGGUGUUGACCUUGGGCAAAAUGGAAUGCAGGAGACCGCUUGUUCGAUAGGAGGGAAAAACGAGCGAUUUAGGCGUGACUUCAAGAUAGUUUUAUCGUGGAAGCGCGGUCCUGCUCCAUUUUUCAGCGUACUCACUUCCUAACCCCACCACGUGUUUAUUCUAGUGAUGGGCAAGCUGUGUGUUGUUAUGAAGGCAAAGCAACACGUCAACCAAGCGAGAUGGGGAAAAGAGAGGAGGAAUAAUGGAGCCGCCACAUGCUUGAAGCGGGAAGACUCCGGGCGGUGUCAGAAACUGGCAGCGCGAUCCUGAGCAAGUUACUUCAUCUUGCAAGGCCUGGGCAAGAUGUGGCCCUGGACCAGCAUUGUUGUCACCACCUGGGCGCUCCUUGGAACUACACAUUCUCAGACCGUCCUCUCGGGCCCACCAGUUAGAAGCUCGGAGGUGGAGGGGGGUGGGGGGGAGCCAGCGAUCCGUGUUUUAACCAGCCCUCCAGGUGAUCCUGCUCUGCUCACGCUCACGUUUGGGAACAGGUGUGAAUAAUCGCGUUGUAGAAGAUCCAAGCUCAGACGCCAGCGUUCAGGCGACAGAAGCACCCCAAGAGCUAGAUCUUCCUGGUCUCAGGGGUCACUUCCAAAUGGCACAUCCGCGAUCCCCAGAGCCUACCUAAUUUUGUACACUGCUCUCUGCAUCUCUGUGUCGCUUAACGCUCUCUGCAACGGAGAAAUCAGGUAUCAGGUUACCUUUCGGAAUGCAAGGGGACCGUGUUACAAAGCUUCGGCAGUAGUCCCGAGCAGGAGCUCUGGUUUUAGAUCCCGGGAACCGAGGGCUGGAGUCGUGGGUUUUCAAUACGUGCAUCUCCUUGCUGGAAAACGCACAUUCGUGUCGGCUAUCAAGUCUUUUGGUCAUCUUGAGUUUUUUAUUUUAUUUAUUGAUUGAUUGAUUGGUCUCUGAGAUGGAGAGAGACUGAGAGACAUUGCCUGGUGGUCUGAGCAGGGGCUCUGGCUUCACGCUGCUUGCUUUCCCCUGGAGCUCCACCAUUUCCAGCCUUGCAAAUAGAAACUGAGACUCAGAGCGGAGGCGACUAGUCUGUCGACACUCAGCUAAAGGAGCAGCUACAGCCUGGAUUCCAACUCCUGUCUGACCACAUCCAGAGUAUUUCCUUUGAUUUGUGGAACACUCGGGAUUCACGGGGUCCCACUGGGAGCCUGUGGAGGGUGCAAGAUGCAAAACUCAAGAACCAGGAGGAAUUCUGAGUCCUCUGAGGUCUGUGGAAGAGCUGCAAUUCAUUCUAGACAAUGAUGAACGAAAAGAAGAGGAAGAAGUUGAAGGAUAGGCUCUAAGGUGAGGCAAUCAAUUGCCGAUUUGGAGGAAUUUUCAGAGGUGGUGGGAAUAUUCCUUGGCUGAGGUGGCUCUUGUCCUUAUGCUUAAAAAUCCUGCUCCCAGUACUUCAUUCCUUUGAAUUAUGUCCUGUCCCUUUUUUUUUUGCAUCUGUACAGAAGGGGAGUUUUCUUCCCCCUCUACCCUCCUAGUUUCAGUCCGUGGUGCCUGGCACAGGGGCUUCAGAGACUAGUUGGCAAGAAGCAUAAGUGAAAAGAAGUGAAAAACACCAAAUAAGUGAUUAGA